UCUCCUGGAAAACGGGUGGUAAUGCCGGAUGCUCCAGUUGAUCGCAUGGUCUUCUGGGAAAGCUUUCGCGGUAUGGGAUGGGGUCGCGUCCUAUCAGCUUGACGGCGGGGUAACGGCCCACCGUGGCUUCGACGGGUAGCCGGCCUGAGAGGGCGACCGGCCACAUUGGGACUGAGAUACGGCCCAGACUCCUACGGGAGGCAGCAGUGGGGAAUAUUGCACAAUGGGCGCAAGCCUGAUGCAGCGACGCCGCGUGAGGGAUGGAGGCCUUCGGGUUGUAAACCUCUUUUAUCGGGGAGCAAGCGUGAGUGAGUUUACCCGUUGAAUAAGCACCGGCUAACUACGUGCCAGCAGCCGCGGUAAUACGUAGGGUGCAAGCGUUAUCCGGAAUUAUUGGGCGUAAAGGGCUCGUAGGCGGUUCGUCGCGUCCGGUGUGAAAGUCCAUCGCUUAACGGUGGAUCCGCGCCGGGUACGGGCGGGCUUGAGUGCGGUAGGGGAGACUGGAAUUCCCGGUGUAACGGUGGAAUGUGUAGAUAU
rnacentral:rRNA from 2 species